UCCUCCGCGGCCGACCAAGAAAGGCACCUGUCUUGUAAACAGGUUUAUGUGAGCGCGAAUCUCACCGGAGGAUCCA
rnacentral:tRNA from 1 species